AGCGAACGCUGGCGGCGUGCCUAACACAUGCAAGUCGAACGUGAAAGGGAGCAAUCCCAAGUAAAGUGGCGUACGGGUGAGUAACACGUAGGUAAUCUACCCCAGAAUCUGGAAUAACCGGCCGAAAGGCUGGCUAAUACUGGAUAGAGCGACGGAAUCCGUAAUUGGGUUUUUCGGGAAAGGGAGCCUGUAAAAAGGCCUUCGUUCUGGGAUGAGCCUGCGUCCCAUCAGCUAGUUGGUGAGGUAAAAGCUUACCAAGGCAAUGACGGGUAGCUGGUCUGAGAGGACGAUCAGCCACACUGGAACUGAAACACGGUCCAGACUCCUUCGGGAGGCAGCAGUGGGGAAUCUUGCGCAAUGGACGAAAGUCUGACGCAGCAACGCCGCGUGAGUGAAGAAGGCCUUCGGGUUGUAAAGCUCUGUCGAGUGGGACGAAAAUGCUUGGAGUUCACAGCUCCAGGAACUGACGGUACCACUAAAGGAAGCACCGGCUAACUCCGUG
rnacentral:rRNA from 1 species